AUUUGUACCGACUCUUGGCUAGGU
rnacentral:miRNA from 1 species